CGGGCUACGCCUAGAGUACCUGCUUGCUUGGGAUCAGAUAAAGGCGGACUAAGUCGUCGGUGCUGGGGCACCAAGAAGAGCAGCCGUCUAGAUGGAGGGAGUCCCUCACGAGAAGUAGUACCAAUACUGUCUCCAUUAGAAGUACAACAGAAGAUCUCAUACAAGGAUUAAGGAGAAAGUUAGGACGUCUAAAGAGAGAGACGAGCCCGCCCCCGCGUCGUUAAGAAGCACGGAAUAUCAGGUGUUUCCAUUUAUUUCCACCUCACACUCGAAGGGAAGUUGCAAACAACCAGUGACCUCAAAAACACAGCCGAUGGUUCAUAAACGUUCUACUCUUGACAACACCUAAUCGGGCGUAGUUAAACAAGUACCUCUGCACAGCCUGUCUUUUCGCCAUUUCGAGUAACGGGCGUACAGCCAAUGACUCAUAAACGUUCUACCUUUAACAACGGCCAAUCGGGUCGCAGUUAAACAAGUUACCUCCUCUACACAGAUGGUUUUCAAACCACGCACAAGCUCUUUUUCCACAUCUCCAAACUUCCACAACGAGAGUUGUCAGAACAUAUAAUAAAAGUUGUGGUACUAUAAUCACACCUUUACUCAUUACAAUAAAACUGGUACCAGUCUAUAUUACACACAAAACCAGUGAGAAAAGAACGAAGGUACGUUCCAUCUAAUCUCUUACAUCGGUAAACACGAAAUGGUAUCAACAAUCAAAACGUCAACACUAAAAGAAUAUCUGAACGAACGUAAUAACAGGACUAAUAAUUAAGUUAACAUGGUUCCAUACAACAAACAUAAAUCGAACGUUACAAUAAGACGUCUUACCUAAUUCCUUGACUUCCUCAACUUACUGAACGUCUAACACAAACAAAAGAAAGAACACGUUUCUCCAAGUUAGACCAAACAUCAAGUAGUAAUAAAGUACAAAUGCCAACAUUUCUUAGUUCUUAGUACGUUCCACAAUAGAUGAAUCAGAGUACACAGUACCGAUUGAAAAAAUCAACUAAACACCUAAAGCAACAGAAUAUGAAUUUAACUAAACGUAUCACACGAUUAGAUAAAGUCCCCAUGAGACAGGU
rnacentral:rRNA from 1 species